rnacentral:rRNA from 1 species
AUUGAACGCUGGCGGCAGGCCUAACACAUGCAAGUCGAGCGGAUGAGAAGAGCUUGCUCUUCGAUUCAGCGGCGGACGGGUGAGUAAUGCCUAGGAAUCUGCCUGGUAGUGGGGGACAACGUUUCGAAAGGAACGCUAAUACCGCAUACGUCCUACGGGAGAAAGCAGGGGACCUUCGGGCCUUGCGCUAUCAGAUGAGCCUAGGUCGGAUUAGCUAGUUGGUGAGGUAAUGGCUCACCAAGGCGACGAUCCGUAACUGGUCUGAGAGGAUGAUCAGUCACACUGGAACUGAGACACGGUCCAGACUCCUACGGGAGGCAGCAGUGGGGAAUAUUGGACAAUGGGCGAAAGCCUGAUCCAGCCAUGCCGCGUGUGUGAAGAAGGUCUUCGGAUUGUAAAGCACUUUAAGUUGGGAGGAAGGGCAUUAACCUAAUACGUUAGUG